CAGCGCCACGGGAAUACGUAGGGUGCGAGCGUUAAUCGGAAUUACUGGGCGUAAAGCGUGCGCAGGCGGUUUUGUAAGACAGGCGUGAAAUCCCCGGGCUCAACCUGGGAAUGGCGCUUGUGACUGCAAAGCUAGAGUGCGGCAGAGGGGGAUGGAAUUCCGCGUGUAGCAGUGAAAUGCGUAGAUAUGCGGAGGAACACCGAUGGCGAAGGCAAUCCCCUGGGCCUGCACUGACGCUCAUGCACGAAAGCGUGGGGAGCAAACAGGAUUAGAUACCCGCGUAGUCCCUGUCUCUUAUACA
rnacentral:rRNA from 1 species